UACGUAGGGGGCAAGCGUUGUCCGGAAUCAUUGGGCGUAAAGCGCGCGUAGGCGGCCCUGUAAGUCCGUUGUGAAAGUCAAAGGCUCAACCUUUGAAAGCCGAUGGAUACUGCAGGGCUAGAGUCCGGAAGAGGAGAGUGGAAUUCCUGGUGUAGCGGUGAAAUGCGCAGAUAUCAGGAAGAACACCCGUGGCGAAGGCGGCUCUCUGGGGACGGUACUGACGCUGAGACGCGAAAGCGUGGGGAGCGAACAGG
rnacentral:rRNA from 1 species